ensembl:lncRNA
GGGCCCGUGCGCGGCCAAUGGCGGGCGGCGCGCGCGGAUGGGGCGCGUUGGAGCCGGGCGGUGCCGGGCGCAGGUGAGCGCUGCGGGCUCCGCUCACCUCAGCGCGAGUGGGCCGCGCUCCCGCCCCGCCCCGCCGCCCGCCCGCCCGCGGCUCCGGGUGCCCGGCGGCCGCUCCCCGGCCUGGAGCAGGUGCAGCGCGGCGGGUGAGGGCGGGAACAGCCGGGUUUGCUCCGCGGGCAGCGUCCGGUGGGGCAGGGCGCGGUGCGGUGCGGUCCGGUCCGAGCUGCCGCUGGCGGAGGGGUGUCGGGGUGGGCGGUGUGUGGGGGCUCCCUCAGGCCGGUGCUGCCUCAUCCCGCGGGCUGUGCGGCGCCGUGCCGGGCAGCCGCAGCUCCGGAGGGGUUGCUUUUACCAAGCCCCAAAUAAAUGGGAAAACCCAAAUCCCGUGAUUUUGAGCAGUUUACUCGCCGCACCGGUCAUCUCUCUCCCUUUUCUUGAGGGGGACAGAGAAGGUAGGAGGUGUGGUGCGGGUUUGGCACAGCCUCCCAGUCCUCAUUGCUGCCCUUGGGGAUCACCGUGAGCUCCCCAGGGUUUGGGUUGUCUCGGGGGCAGUGCUUUGGGCUGAGCUGCCCUGGCAGGCUCUCAGAGCACACACCAGGCUGGUGUGAAGAGGGUUUAUCUUCCUCUCUCUGCUUACCUUAGCUCUGAGGUAAAUAAACCGCAGCUCUCAAUGGCCUGUGUGCUGUGUGCGAGGAAAACUGCUGAUGCUGCAGGGAUACAGCCUUCUUCAGCUGCUCCGAUGGAGCUGAGGUUGACAUUCUGAUGUAGCUGUAACUUAAUGGGAUAGGUUUUGUUUAAUGGGAAACUUGCUUUUCUAUUUGCAAUAGUCUGUGGUUCCACGUUAACAGUGCCACUUCCCAUUGUGUGUUAAUUUCCUCCCUGUGAGGCAUCUCUGGCAGCUUCAAUUUGUUCUGGUGUUUGACAUGGGAUGGCUUUGAAGUGUUGCUUUUAAAACUGGAUAAGGCAAGCAGCGAGCCGUUAUCUCAGUUGCUUGGAGAGAAAAACCAAAGCCAGUGUGCUGGGGCUGUGCUCCAGCAUGUCCCCAUGCAUGGCUCGGCUUGCUGUGCUGCACCCCGUGCUCAGGCUGGGGUGUGUGCUGUGACCAGGAUUAAUCUCCAGGCAUAGCAAUAAAUUGCUUUCCUGUGCUUGCUCCCUUGGCUUGUACCUGAGAAGGACAGAUCUUAGCAACCAGGAGCAUAAGCACCAAGCACCAGCCUCUUACAAUUCCGGCGAAGAGUUCAGGUAUGUUAUUGUUUGCUACGGUGUGAAGGCUGGGCUUUGAGACACAGUAGGUGCUGGGCUGCUGGAUCCUGUGUUCACCGAAGUGAAAACCUUCAAUCUGGAGCUGUCUCGAGCUAUUUCUUCUUGCUUUUGGGAUAUGUUUUGUGGUUUGAAGCGGGAAUGCUUGAAGUGGAACAUGUGUGUGCUUAUGCUCCCAGGACAGCUCCUGGCCCAGACAGGGUGGGCAGAGCUGCUCAUCCAGCUGCGCCUGGCACUGAGCUGCAAGGAGACCUCAUCUGUCCCAGCA